UACAGAGGUCUCAAGCGUUGUUCGGAUUCAUUGGGCGUAAAGGGUGCGUAGGUGGCGCGAUAAGUCGGGUGUGAAAUCUCGGAGCUUAACUCCGAAAUUGCAUUCGAUACUGCCGUGCUCGAGGACUGGAGAGGAGACCGGAAUUCAUGGUGUAGCAGUGAAAUGCGUAGAGAUCAUGAGGAAGACCAGUGGCGAAGGCGGGUCUCUGGACAGUUCCUGACACUGAGGCACGAAGGCCAGGGGAGCAAACGAG
rnacentral:rRNA from 1 species